rnacentral:rRNA from 1 species
GAAGCGGCAAAAGCUCAAAUUUGAAAUCUGGCACUUUCAGUGUCCGAGUUGUAAUUUGAAGAAGGUAUCUUUGGGUCUGGCUCUUGUCUAUGUUUCUUGGAACAGAACGUCACAGAGGGUGAGAAUCCCGUGCGAUGAGAUGUCCCAGACCUAUGUAAAGUUCCUUCGAAGAGUCGAGUUGUUUGGGAAUGCAGCUCUAAGUGGGUGGUAAAUUCCAUCUAAAGCUAAAUAUUGGCGAGAGACCGAUAGCGAACAAGUACAGUGAUGGAAAGAUGAAAAGAACUUUGAAAAGAGAGUGAAAAAGUACGUGAAAUUGUUGAAAGGGAAGGGCUUGAGAUCAGACUUGGUAUUUUGUAUGUUACUCUCUCGGGGGUGGCCUCUACAGUUUACCGGGCCAGCAUCAGUUUGAGCGGUAGGAUAAGUGCAAAGAAAUGUGGCACUGCUUCGGUAGUGUGUUAUAGUCUUUGUCGAUACUGCCAGCUUAGACUGAGGACUGCGGCUUCGGCCUAGGAUGUUGGCAUAAUGAUCUUAAGUCGCCCGUCUUGA